rnacentral:rRNA from 1 species
AUUGAACGCUGGCGGCAUGCCUUACACAUGCAAGUCGAACGGUAACAGGUCUUCGGAUGCUGACGAGUGGCGAACGGGUGAGUAAUACAUCGGAACGUGCCCGAGAGUGGGGGAUAACGAGGCGAAAGCUUUGCUAAUACCGCAUACGAUCUCAGGAUGAAAGCAGGGGACCGCAAGGCCUUGCGCCCACGGAGCGGCCGAUGGCAGAUUAGGUAGUUGGGGGGAUAAAAGCUUACCAAGGCGACGAUCUGUAGCUGGUCUGAGAGGACGACCGGCCACACUGGGCAUGAGACACGGCCCAGACUCCUACGGGAGGCAGCAGUGGGGAAUUUUGGACAAUGGGCGCAAGCCUGAUCCAGCCAUGCCGCGUGCAGGAUGAAGGCCUUCGGGUUGUAAACUGCUUUUGUACGGAACGAAAAGACUCUGGUUAAUACCUGGGGUCCAUGACGGUACCGUAAGAAUAAGCACCGGCUAACUACGUGCCAGCCGCCGCCGUAAAAC